UACGAAGGGGGGCUAGCGUUGUUCGGAAUUAUUGGGCGUAAAGGGCGCGUAGGCGGCUUUGCAAGUGGCGGGUGAAAUCCCUCGGCUUAACCGAGGAACUGCCUGCCAGACUGUGAGGCUUGAGACCGGGAGAGGUGAGUGGAAUUCCCAGUGUAGCGGUGAAAUGCGUAGAUAUUGGGAGGAACACCAGUGGCGAAGGCGGCUCACUGGACCGGAACUGACGCUGAGGCGCGAAAGCGUGGGGAGCAAACAGG
rnacentral:rRNA from 1 species